rnacentral:rRNA from 1 species
CCUACGGGGGGCUGCAGUGGGGAAUAUUGCACAAUGGGGGAAACCCUGAUGCAGCGACGCCGCGUGAAGGAAGAAGGUUUUCGGAUCGUAAACUUCUAUCAGCAGGGAAGAAGAAAGUGACAGUACCUGACUAAGAAGACCCGGCUAACUACGUGCCAGCAGCCGCGGUAAUACGUAGGGGCAAGCGUUAUCCGGAAUCACUGGGUGUAAAGGGUGCGUAGGCGGUAGGGCAAGUCGGNUGUGAAAGCCCGGGGCUNAACCCCGGGAUNGCAUUUGAAACUGUCUUACUAGAGUGCAGGAGAGGAAAGCGGAAUUCCUAGUGUAGCGGUGAAAUGCGUAGAUAUUAGGAAGAGCGCCAGUGGCGAAGGCGGCUUUCUGGACUGUAACUGACGCUGAGGCACGAAAGCGUGGGGAGCGAACAGGAUUAGAUACCCGGGUAGUC